GAUAAGGUAGACUAAAUAUAAGCCAGUGGACUCAUAACCCAUCUAUGGGAGACUUCCCCCUUAUUA
rnacentral:tRNA from 1 species